AAAAAAGAGACACGAAAAAUUAUAAAAAUAAAUGUUAAUUUAAAAUAUGAAUAAAUUAUAUAAUUUAAAAUAACUAACAACUCAUGAAAAAUCAUGGAAAUUCAUUGGUUUAAAGGGAUGAAACUAUAAAUAUAUUGAGUUUUAUCCCUCUGGUUAGUUUUAACCUGGUUCAUGUAUUUUCAGUAAUGUUAGAAAAUAUAAAAUAAAAAAAUAAUAAUAAUAAAAUACAGGUGAAGUCAUUACCUGUCUUAAGAACGCUGAGAAUCUUCGGUCAGUGGUUCUGAACGAGUUGUCUGUCACUCUUGAUAUCUUCGUGCUCACGUUGCCUCUGGAGAUCGAGGUCAUGACUCCUGACUUCCACCACAACAGGUCAGUGUUCGUGAAGAGAUUUGGGAAAGAAUCAAACAGCUGGAGUGAUCCUGAUAGUUCUCUGUGCAUGUGCUGUAGGUACACGUCUGAGAUCAGCUCUCCUGGACAGCCCUCGUCCCUCCGAUGAGGAGCUCAUGGCUAAUCUGGAUGGCCUGCGCGUGGGGUCAGUGUGGAAAGGUGAGCGUUCAGAGCCCAAAUAUCUUGAGUAAUAACUUUUUAUUUUGUCGUCUUCUGCAGUAUGCCUGGAGAUCCCCUGUCCAAACUUCCUGUUCCGCACAAAAUGGCUUUUUUAGCCACCAUGGAUGAGAUCCGUUGGCUGUUGGAGGAUGAGAUAGUCUCUGCUCUGCGGCACUCGUCUUUAUCAGCUCCUCCACGCUGCAGAAAGUGUGUCGCUCCAGCGGCCGCCCGUGCCACUGUGAGGUCAUUCCUCUGCAGUUCGUAUUUGGUCCCGAGCAGUCGCUGGUAAAGUUUCAAGAGGUUUGAACUCAUGUGAUGACCUCUAUUAUUGGUGAUAAGACUCCUCAGCAAAGGUCAGGAACGAGAUCAUGUUCUUCCCUGCUGUUUAAUAACACGUCCCUGCUUCCUCGCUGCAGGAGUUCAAGAGGUUAUCGCUUCCUGGUUACCUGCUGAACGCCGAGCAGCACAACUUCCACUACAUCUCACUGAGUCAACAGCAGUUUCUCAGGCUUCAGGCCAUGAGACAGCUGUCUAACAUCUCUGCUCAGUACUCAACGUCUCGGCAGAGCAGCCUGUGUCCUGAGGUGGAGGACGGAGCCAGAGCAUCAGCAAACAGAGAAACAGAGUCCAAGAGAAAAGAGCCCGACACUGAGGUAAUUAUCAGCAAUCUUUAAAACCAUACCUGAAGAAAUGCAUUGCAUUUGUUUAAUGAUGAAGUUUUCACAUUAACUUUAAAAUAAAGUGUGGUUUAAGUAAAUGUAACACUCAGAUUUAACAAAGUUGACUUGAUGUCUAUUGCCACAUGGGCCGCUGUCUUAUAAAUCAGCAUACUGUCUGAAAUGGAAAGUAAAAGUUACGAAAUGCCCUGCAUAUAAGUGGCACGCCUCACAUGAAACUCAACUCAAAAUCGAGGCCGUUUUAUUCCUAAUUUAUUAUUCAUUAUUGUCAGCCACUUUAAACAUUGUAAACACAGUUUGAACAUUAGCACUGCACUGUGCUUACAUACAGGUAAAUAAAAAACUUAAAUGAUUAAAUUAAAAUGUACUGUACCUAAAAGUUAAAUAAAAACUGUAUGGUAAUUAAAAAGUAAAAAACUAAACUGUACUGUACUUAAAUGUAAAGUAAAAAAAAUGUACAGUACUUGAUGAAAAAAUUAACCCAGGCAUCAUUUAGCCACCUUGCACACUUUUUAAAAUGUUUUAACAUGAAUUUAUAUUUAAUUCAGUGAUUCCUCUGCGUUUGACUUUGACCACAGUCUCAAACAGGAUUUUUCACAUUGCAGUGCAUUUUGGGAUUGCCUUUUUCAACAAAGCAUACACUGUCACAAGUUCUGUAUGAUUUUCACUAUGUAAGAAAUUAACAUUUAUUUGUAUUCAAUUUUAAGAAUUAGUUUUAUUCAGCAAGGAUGCAUAAAAAAAUCAAAUAUGUUUAUAAUGUUACAAAAGAUUUUUAUUUUAAAUGAAUGCUGCUGUUUUGAACUUUCUUUUUAUUAAAAAGGAUCCUGAAAAAUAAAAAGUAUCAUGGUUUCCACAAAAAAUAUUCGGCAGCACAACUCUUUUCAACAUUGAUAAUAAUCAGAAAUGUUUCUUAGAAUGAUUUCUGAAGGAUCAUGUGACACUGAAGACUGGAGUAAUGAUGCUGAAAAUUCAGCUUUGAUCACAGGAAUAAAUUAGAUUUUACAAUACAUUUACAUAAAAAAACAGUUAUUUUAAAUUGUAAUAAUAUUCCACAAUAUUAUUGUUUUUACUGUAUUUUUAAUCAAAUAAAUGCAGCUUUAAAGAGAACAUUAAAAAACUGACCCAAAACAUAUGAAACUAUUAAACUAUAUAUGAUUACUAUGAUAUAAACUAUGAUAUGAUAUGAUUUUAAAUCUGUAUUUUACCUCAGAACAAUCUCAAAGUAAAAAGAGGUGCUAAAGUCUAAAGUUUGUGGUGGCUGUGCUUUGAAAUUAUAUUAGUAUAAUCUUAAUUCAAGUGAUGAAGGAUUUUGAAAAUCAGACAGGUAUAAUGUUGAGUAGUACUGUAAGGUUAACCCUGCCUGCUUUACAUGUUUUAGAAUGAUUACCAGUUUAGAAAAAUUUUGAAAUUUGAAUUUUGAAAAGUAGCCUAAUCAAAAAGUAAUCAAAUGCAAGCAGUUACAUUACUUUAAUAAAGCAAUUUAAAUAGUUACACUACUUACUGCAUUUUAAAUAGGGCAACUCAUAAUCUGUAACCUGUUACAUUUCCAAAGUAACAUUCCCAACACUGGACUCUAAUGAGGUGAAAAGUUGCAAAAAAGGCUUGCAUACUAUGAGGAUGAAAAAGACAACAAAGCAUUUCAAUGGCAAUUACAGUGGCAUGUGCAAGAGUCAUCAUAAAGGAAUAUUUUAACCAAAAAUAGAAAAUUUAAAACUGAAAAUGUUCUCACCCUCAGGCCAUCCAAGAUGUAGAUGAGUUUGUUUCAUCAUCAGAUUUGGAGAUAUGUAGCAUUUCAUCACUUGUUCAUCAGCGAAUGCUCUGCAGUGAAUGGGUGCCGUCAGAAUGAGAGUCCAAACAGCUGAUACAAACAUACCAAUAAUCCACACCACUCCAGUCCAUCAGUUAAGAUCUCGUGAAGCAAAAAGCUGCAUGUUUGUAAGAAACAAAUCCAAAAGUGGUCUGAUCUGAAUCAGGAAAGAAAUCUGCAUAGAUCAAAACACCGUUUUGAUUAACAAAUAUGUGGGUGGAUUUCGGUGUGAGAGACAACAGGGGAUGAACUUUUUCACUGGAGGGAGCAUUAUUAUGGAUUUUGGCCAGAAGUCUGAAGUUAAAAAGUCUUAAUGAUGGAUUUGUUUCUUUUGGCUUCACAAGAUGUUAGCUGAUGGACUGGAGUGGUGUGGAUUACUUGUGGAUUACUGUGAUGUUUUUAUCAGCUGUUUCUCACGGCACCCAUUCACUGCAGAGCAUCCAUUGCUGAGCAAGUGAUGCAAUGCUACAUUUCUCCAAAUCUGAUGAAGAAACAAACGCAUCUACAUCUUAGAUGACCUAAAUGUGAGGACAUUUUCAGCAGAUUUUUAUUUUGGGGUGAACUAUUCCUUUAAAACAAAGAUCAAUAACAGUUGAAUAUGUCACAUGAUUUUGG
ensembl:lncRNA